UGCGGGGUGGAGCAGUCUGGUAGCUCGUCGGGCUCAUAACCCGAAGGUCACAGGUUCAAAUCCUGUCCCCGCUA
rfam:Candidatus Schekmanbacteria bacterium RBG_16_38_10 RBG_16_scaffold_33768, whole genome shotgun sequence.